rnacentral:misc_RNA from 1 species
GAAUGAAUUAACGGCGAAAGCAGCUUUUUAUCAACAGAAGAAGGAUCCAUAGGACCAGUCCACCAGCUAAUGAAAUUGCCUACGACGAUAACGAUUAACGUUAACUUACUUCGGACGAUCAAACUGUUUCAGGAAACUUUCGGAGAUAUUGCCUGGGCAAUGAGAAAGGGGGACUGGAAGUUUCUUAGGAACCAGCAACCCAGCACCGAUAGACCAAUUUGCACCUAAGCUCGCCCAGCCAGCGAUCACGAAUCCUACGAUAGCACCCAUAAACGCACCCUAUUCGACGGAACAAAACUAAAACUCCUCCUAGUUUCUCGACCAGAAAUAGCAAACCCAGAGCUAUGCAACCAAGCAAGACAACCAGACAUUUUACAAAGAGAUGGGAACAUCGGUCGGUCAGUUUCAAGCCGAAGCAACCCUUCACGAAAUCUUCCAGGACCACUACGGCCGUUGAAUUAAGGCCUACAGACAGG